rnacentral:rRNA from 1 species
CAGCCGCCACGGGAAUACAGAGGGUGCGAGCGUUAAUCGGAUUUACUGGGCGUAAAGCGUGCGUAGGCGGCUUCUUAAGUCGGAUGUGAAAUCCCUGAGCUUAACUUAGGAAUUGCAUUCGAUACUGGGAAGCUAGAGUAUGGGAGAGGAUGGUAGAAUUCCAGGUGUAGCGGUGAAAUGCGUAGAGAUCUGGAGGAAUACCGAUGGCGAAGGCAGCCAUCUGGCCUAAUACUGACGCUGAGGUACGAAAGCAUGGGGAGCAAACAGGAUUAGAUACCCGAGUAGUCCCUGUCUCUUAUAA